rnacentral:lncRNA from 1 species
UGACACUGGUGGAGCUGCAGGUCGUGAGGGCUGCCAUCCGAGAGUCCCUGCCUGGGGAGUCUGGCCCACUGAGCCUAGUCUGCCAUGGUGGAGAGCCUGGCCAUGACUCCGUGCUGCAGCGGCUCCUGAGGGAGGGGAUCUGUGAGCCCCACAGCCUUGGUAGCCGGGGGUGAAGAUGUCAUGCAUGCACGUGACAGUCACAUGAUUUCUGCAUUGAACCCCAAAGCUUCCACCAGCUUUCCUGGAACCUACGGCCAGAAGAGUCCUGAGAUUUCAAAUAUUAAAGCUUUCUCCACAGCC